AAAUUACCUAUAAUAACUCAUAUUUCUUGUGUAAUGACUAGAUUAACACACAAAAAGAGAAAAGGAAAAAAAUACCAGCAAAAGUCUAAAAUAACCCUAUCAAAUAACUGAAUUAAACAAAAAAAGAAUUUUUUAAGUAAAAUUUUCAUUUAUUUAAAACACUUGGAGUGGAAUUUUUUUUUCUUUAAAGUUCACUCCCCAGCCCCCUAAGUUGUAACCCAUGAACCCUAAAUCCCUCGAUUUCUCAAAUUCCUCAGUUUAACAUGAUUUCACCUUGAUUCGAUCUUGUUUGCACUUUCUUGGCGCAACGUAAGCGUAGCCAAGCUAGUGACACUGUUCGUUGAUUAAGUAAAUGGAAGAAGAAGGGAAGCAUAUAACAUGUUGUCUGUGAUUGUUUGCGGCGGAAAGAGAUCUCUGUUUGAGACUUCUUCUCCUCCCCUCUCAAAGAAACUCUGUUCCUUGUCUCCCUCUCGUUUCUCCUCCUCUCUUCUUCUCGAUCACCUCACCGCCAUUUUCCCCGACAUGGAUACUCAUAUUCUUGAGCGAGCAAUCAACGAAUGUUGGAGAUGAUUUUGAUUCUGCUAUUAGAUCUUUGAACCAGCUGGCAGCUUCAUUUAGAAUCCGCCAAUCAAAAACCUGAAUUAUCUCUAGUCCAGGAAGAAGCAAAAGUUGCAGUACGAGGAGCAGGAGGAUCAUCAGGGAAGGAGGAAGUCUUGAACUUGGAGGUAUGCAAAAUUGACACGAACCAUACAGCAGCAAGUUUUUAAUGGUAGUGAGCUUCGUUCAACAAUGUUUGAGGAAUCUUUCAGAGUGUGCCGCUCAAAGAUUGUGUUAUGAUAGAUCAAAUUGAACUCCACAAUAUUACUCACUUUCAGUUCACCAUGAAAGGAUGUUAGACAAACGUUUACUCUUAAUUACCAACA